rnacentral:rRNA from 1 species
UACGAAGGGGGCUAGCGUUGCUCGGAAUGACUGGGCGUAAAGGGCGCGUAGGCGGAUGGCACAGUCAGAUGUGAAAUUCCCGGGCUUAACCUGGGGGCUGCAUUUGAUACGUGUGAUCUAGAGUGAGGAAGAGGGUCGUGGAAUUCCCAGUGUAGAGGUGAAAUUCGUAGAUAUUGGGAAGAACACCGGUGGCGAAGGCGGCAACCUGGUCCUUGACUGACGCUGAGGCGCGACAGCGUGGGGAGCAAACAGG